rnacentral:rRNA from 1 species
UACGAAGGGGGCUAGCGUUGUUCGGAAUUACUGGGCGUAAAGCGCGCGCAGGCGGUCUUCCAAGUCAGUGGUGAAAGCCCGGAGCUCAACUCCGGAAUUGCCAUUGAAACUGUUAGACUUGAGGAUGAGAGAGGUGAGUGGAAUUCCCAGUGUAGAGGUGAAAUUCGUAGAUAUUAGGAAGAACACCGGUGGCGAAGGCGGCCCACUGGCUCGAUACUGACGCUGAGGUGCGAAAGCGUGGGGAGCAAACAGG